CCCUUCACAAGUGGCCACUAUCAGUAGUGCUUCUUUCUGCAGUGAAUGAAACCGUUUGUAGCGCUUCCAAUCUUUGUCUGUGGUCGAGUGUGAAACCAUCCAUUUAUCCUUAUGUUUUUCGAUUAUCAGCUGGGCUUCUUAUGAAGCGCUGCUAAGUGGCUACGUGUGAAACCAUUACGUGUAAUACAAUUAUAUUUUUUAUCAGCCAAAGUAGUGGCUAUUUUAUGGUAUUUUUAUGUUUUAAAAAUAUUAAAAUGGGUUUUUAUUCAAAAUAGAAAAAAAUCAUAAAUACUUCUGUUGACAUCGAAUAAUUAGAAAUAGAGCAAAAAAUAUUCAAAAUAAGUUGUUUAAAAUACAAGGGAAAUUAAGAUAUGAAGGGAUUCAGGC